UUCACCUAACAUCACCAACCCAUCACCAGUAUUGAAUAAAUUCAUAAUCUAUGAAAAUUAUUAUGCUAGAACUAGUAACAAGAAAAUGAAUUUCUCCAAAGUGUAAGCAUAAACCAAAAUGAACACCACACUGAUAAUUAACGACUAUGAACCCAUUUAAGGAACAUAACUAGAAAAAAUCCUAUAUUUAACCCCGUUAACCUUACACAAGAACUCUCCUGGAAAGAUUAAAAGGAAGAGAAGGAACUCGGCAAAUCUUAACCCCGCCUGUUUACCAAAAACAUCGCCUCUUGAUUAGAUAUAAGAGGUCCAGCCUGCCCAGUGUUUUAGUUUUAAUCAACGGCCGCGUGAUUUAAACGCGCGAAGGUAGCAUAAUAAUUUGUUCUUUAAAUGAGGACUUGUAUCAAUGGCAUCACGAGGGUUAUACUGUCUCCUCUCCCCAAUCAGUGAAACUAAUCUCCUUGUGAAAAAGCAAGGAUAAGAUCAUAAGACGAGAAGACCCCAUGGAGCUUAAAACACGGCAACAACCCUAAUAUCAUAACCAAUUUAAUUUUAAGCCCUGUAUGCUAGUUUUAGGUUGGGGUGACCACGGAGUAAAACAAAGCCUCCACAACGAAAAGGGGUUAUACCCUUAUCUAAGAGAUACUCCUCUAAGAAUUAUUAAAAUAACGUCCAAUGAUCCGACUAUCGACCAAUGAACCAAGUUACCCUGGGGAUAACAGCGCAAUCCACCCUGAGAGCCCUAUCGACGAGUGGGCUACGAACCUCGAUGUUGGAUC
rnacentral:rRNA from 1 species